rnacentral:rRNA from 1 species
AUGCUUUAUACAUGCAAGUCGAACGGAGGCCCUAGCUUGCUAGGUGUCCUUAGUGGCGCACGGGUGAGUAACACGUGGGAACAUACCUUAUAGUACGGAAUAACUGCGGGAAACUGUAGCUAAUACCGUAUACUCCAGUAAUGGGAAAGAUUUAUCGCUAUAAGAUUGGCCCGCGCAAGAUUAGCUUGUUGGUGAGGUAAAAGCUCACCAAGGCUUCGAUCUUUAGCUGGUUUGAGAGGACGAUCAGCCACACUGGGACUGAGACACGGCCCAGACUCCUACGGGAGGCAGCAGUAGGGAAUAUUGGACAAUGGGGGCAACCCUGAUCCAGCAAUGCAGCGUGAGUGACGAAGGCCUUAGGGUUGUAAAACUCUUUCAUCGGUGAGGAUAAUGACAGUAGCCGAAGAAGAAGG